CAUUGGUUUAGUUAGGGGGCAUACAUGAACUUGAGGUUCAAAUUUUAUAUUUGAACCUUUUUUGCUGAGGCCUUUUGAGGGGAUUAUUCUUUUACCAUGUAUAGUCUUCCAAGCAGCCUUGGACAGCU